rnacentral:rRNA from 1 species
CAGUAGCCGCGGGAAAACGUAGGGUGCGAGCGCUAAUCGGAAUUACUGGGCGUAAAGCGUGCGCAGGCGGUUCGUUAAGACAGAUGUGAAAUCCCCGGGCUUAACCUGGGAACCGCAUUUGUGACUGGCGAGCUAGAGUAUGGCAGAGGGGGGUAGAAUUCCACGUGUAGCAGUGAAAUGCGUAGAGAUGUGGAGGAAUACCGAUGGCGAAGGCAGCCCCCUGGGCCAAUACUGACGCUCAUGCACGAAAGCGUGGGGAGCAAACAGGAUUAGAUACCCGCGUAGUCCCUGUCUCUUAUAC